UCCUUAGACACUCUAGGCGGCACGCGCGCUACAAUGGGUGGAAGAACGUGUUACUGCCUCCGAAAGGAGGGGUGAAUCACGAAUUCUUGCCCGUGAAUGGGAUAGUUUGUUGCAAUUUUCGGACUUGAACUAGGAAUCCCUUGUAAACAUGCUCAAGAAUAGCGUGUUGAAUACGUCCCUGCCGUUUGUACACACCGCCCGUCGUUUCUUCCGACUGAUACUCAUUGUGAGUUGCAAGGACCCUUUAUUGGGAAAUUGCUGCAAAUGCUUUGUAUUGGAGGAAGAAAAAGUCGUAACA
rnacentral:rRNA from 1 species